rnacentral:rRNA from 1 species
GCAGUCGGGAAUUUUGGGCAAUGGGCGAAAGCCUGACCCAGCAACGCCGCGUGAAGGAUGAAAUCCCUCGGGAUGUAAACUUCGCAAGAACGGGAAGAAUAAGUAGGGGACAAUACCCCCUAUGAUGACGGUACCGUUUGUAAGCUCCGGCUAACUCCGUGCCAGCAGCCGCGGUAAUACGGGGGGAGCAAGCGUUGUUCGGAUUUACUGGGCGUAAAGGGCGCGUAGGCGGCCAGCACAAGUCAGUUGUGAAAUCUCCGAGCUUAACUCGGAAAGGUCAACUGAUACUGUGCGGCUAGAGUGCAGAAGGGGCAACUGGAAUUCUCGGUGUAGCGGUGAAAUGCGUAGAUAUCGAGAGGAACACCUGCGGCGAAGGCGGGUUGCUGGGCUGACACUGACGCUGAGGCGCGAAAGCUAGGGGAGCGAACGGGAUUAGAUACCCCGGUAGUCCUAGCCUUAAACGAUGAAUGCUUGGUGUCUGGGGUUAUAUAGUCCCCGGGUGCCGUCGCUAACGCUUUAAGCAUUCCGCCUGGGGAGUACGGUCGCAAGACUG